GAUGAACGCUGGCGGCGUGCUUAACACAUGCAAGUCGAACGGAGUUGUCUCGCUGAAGCGAGCUUGCUCAAAUCUUGAGACAACUUAGUGGCGGACGGGUGAGUAACGCGUGGGUAACCUGCCAUAUACAGGGGGAUAACACUUAGAAAUAGGUGCUAAUACCGCAUAAGCGCACAGUUUCGCAUGAAACAGUGUGAAAAACUCCGGUGGUAUAUGAUGGACCCGCGUCUGAUUAGCUAGUUGGUAAGGUAACGGCUUACCAAGGCGACGAUCAGUAGCCGGCCUGAGAGGGUGACCGGCCACAUUGGGACUGAGACACGGCCCAAACUCCUACGGGAGGCAGCAGUGGGGAAUAUUGCACAAUGGGGGGAAACCCUGAUGCAGCGACGCCGCGUGAGUGAAGAAGUAUUUCGGUAUGUAAAGCUCUAUCAGCAGGGAAGAAAUGACGGUACCUAGACUAAGAAGCCCCGGCUAACUACGUGCCAGCAGCCGACGG
rnacentral:rRNA from 1 species